GGAGGAUGAGGCUUGAAAUUUAGCCCAAGUUCUGCUCAUAAACCUUGGCCCUGACCCUGGCUACAUUGCACAAAUUCUACAAGCCAAGAUGUGUCUAUGAAGCUGACGCUAACCAGAGGCGGAAGAGCAUUACAAAUUGAGUGAAGCUCCUAGUUGGGUUAACGGCAGCCCUGGCCCCAGGAUCUCAAAAGCAGCCUGAAAAGCAGAUGAUGACAAUGGAACAUGGAUAUGCAGCCCCUGGGGCGAACCUGAGUGUUUGAAAUGCAUGGCAACAAUGUUUAAUUCAUGGCAACAAUGAAUCAGUGCUCUAAGGAAGAAAGAAGUGAAUGGCAAGAUUGCACUUGCCCUCACAGGACUGCCAGCCAGAAACUACAUUUCCCAGCAUCCCUUGCAGCUUGGUAUGGCCAUGUGACCACAUUCUCAUUAAUACA
rnacentral:lncRNA from 1 species